rnacentral:misc_RNA from 1 species
GUAUCUAUCCCUGUUGAAAAGGUAAUCUUAUCGCAUUGAUAUACUUUUUUUCCUCAAUCAUAGGGCAAGUUUUUUAUUGAUUUUAUCUGUAAGGUUUUGUUAUCAUCAUAAGGACUAUUUGCAGUCUGCACUCUUUUUUGAGUGGGAUGUGAACUAAAUUUGUGUUGGACUUGGACUUUCUCUUCCCUCAACCCUUUCUUUCUUUGCCU